rnacentral:rRNA from 1 species
UACGUAGGGGGCUAGCGUUGUCCGGAUUUAUUGGGCGUAAAGAGCGUGUAGGCGGCCAGAUAGGUCUGCUGUGAAAACUCGAGGCUCAACCUCGAGAUGUCGGCGGAAACCAUUUGGCUAGAGUCCGGAAGAGGAAAGUGGAAUUCCUGGUGUAACGGUGAAAUGCGCAGAUAUCAGGAAGAACACCCGUGGCGAAGGCGGCUUUCUGGGACGGUACUGACGCUAAGACGCGAAAGCGUGGGGAGCAAACAGG